ensembl:lncRNA
GGAAGAGAGGGAAGGAGGGAGGGAGGGAGAGAGAGGGAAAUGUCACCCGGAGCCCGGGCCCGCGGGGGAGAGGUGGCGCGUUAGAGAUGUGUGUGGGAGAGAGGGAGCGAGAGAGAGAGAGAGAGAGAGAGAGAGAGAGAGAGAGAGAGAGAGAGAGAGAGAGAGGGGGGAGCGAGACCUCCGCUGGCCCCGCGAACUUGUCAAGUGCAAAGCACCAAGCUUUUGGGCUCAAAGAGCUUAGACCAUCAUGGCUACGAAAACUACUGCGGCUCAGAGAGUAUGUAAUUCUGGAGCUCCUUAAGGAAAAAAGUAGUGCGAUGCAACAUCAGAACAGUGGCCAAGUGAUCUUCUCAACAGCACCCAUGAACUUCAACCUUGAACGGAAGAAGACUCAUCAAAUGGUGAGAAAAGAGUGUGGUUGUCAUGACUUUUAG